rnacentral:rRNA from 1 species
AUGUGUCGUAGCAAGAGGAUGGGGGGUAUGGGUUUUCGGGAUUUUGAGGCUUUUAACCAGGCCCUACUCGCCAAGCAAGCAUGGAGGUUACUCAUCAAUCCAGAAUCACUUUGUGCUCGAGUAUUGAAGGCAUGCUAUUUUCAGAAUACUAAUUUUCUUCACGCGGGCUGCCCCAAAAAUAGCUCUUUCACUUGGAAAAGCAUUCUGUUUGGCCAUGUGAUACGUCCAUUUUGCAUCAUGAUUUUAUAUUGA